GUGUCAGCAGCCGCGGUAAUACAUAGGGGGCGAGCGUUAUCCGGAAUUAUUGGGUUUAAAGGGUGCGCAGGCGGGAAGUUAGGUCGGCGGUGAAAUUUCGGGGCUCAACCCCGAGAGUGCCGUUGAAACCGGUUUUCUUGAGUGCGGAUGAGGUAGGCGGAAUUUGUGGUGUAGCGGUGAAAUGCGUAGAUAUCACAAGGAACACCGAUUGCGGAGGCAGCUUACUGAACCGUUACUGACGCUCAUGCACGAAGGCGUGGGGAUCAAACAGGAUUAGAUACCCUGGUAGUCCACGCAGUAAACGAUGAUUACUAGCUGUUUGCGAUACAUUGUAAGCGGCUGAGCGAAAGCGUUAAGUAAUCCACCUGGGGAGUACGUUCGCAAGAAUGAAACUCAAAGGAAUUGACGG
rnacentral:rRNA from 1 species